CUGCAUCUUGGGAUAUGGAUGUGUGUUUCUUCAGGCUGCAGAAAGGGACACAAUACCUGGAAGAGCAGCAGACAGAGACCCAGAGGAACGUCCAUCACACAAAAGACAAAAAGGAAAUACAAGGGAAGCAGUUAAACACAGUCAUUGAGGAAUAAGCCCACUGAAGAGCAAGGCACAACAGAACAAUGUGUGAGUGUGAGGGACUCUUGGUCAUGCCGGGUUUAUCUAUCUUUGGCUGUGACCGAGAGCCAGUGUCUUUGUGAGGUUGGGUUGACAUGUGGUUCUGCUGACCACCCAGUGAUGGAACCAAAGAAGAAGAGGACACGAGCCAGCUGGAGAUGUUUAAAGUGUAUUUAUUGCAA